rnacentral:misc_RNA from 1 species
UCUCCGUAGGUGAACCUGCGGAGGGAUCAUUACUGAGUGAGGGUCUCCGGGCCCGACCUCCAACCCUUUUGUGAACCACCUCGUUGCUUCGGGGGCGACCCUGCCGUUCGCGGCGUGGGGCCCCGGGUGGACCAUUCAAACACUGCAUCUUUGCGUCUGAGUACACGAUUGAAUCAAUCAAAACUUUCAACAACGGAUCUCUUGGUUCUGGCAUCGUGAAGAACGCAGC